rnacentral:rRNA from 1 species
AACGAACGCUGGCGGCAUGCCUAACACAUGCAAGUCGAACGAAGGCUUCGGCCUUAGUGGCGCACGGGUGCGUAACGCGUGGGAAUCUGCCCUUGGGUUCGGAAUAACAGUUGGAAACGACUGCUAAUACCGGAUGAUGACUUCGGUCCAAAGAUUUAUCGCCAAGGGAUGAGCCCGCGUAGGAUUAGCUUGUUGGUGAGGUAAGGGCUCACCAAGGCGACGAUCCUUAGCUGGUCUGAGAGGAUGAUCAGCCACACUGGGACUGAGACACGGCCCAGACUCCUACGGGAGGCAGCAGUGGGGAAUAUUGGACAAUGGGCGAAAGCCUGAUCCAGCAAUGCCGCGUGAGUGAUGAAGGCCUUAGGGUUGUAAAGCUCUUUUACCCGGGAAGAUAAUGACUGUACCGGGAGAAUAAGCCCCGGCUAACUCCGUGCCAGCAGCCGCCGUAACAC